rnacentral:rRNA from 1 species
AGUAACGGCGAGUGAAGCGGCAACAGCUCAAAUUUGAAAUCUGGCGUCUUCGGCGUCCGAGUUGUAAUUUGCAGAGGGCGCUUUGGCAUUGGCAGCGGUCCAAGUUCCUUGGAACAGGACGUCACAGAGGGUGAGAAUCCCGUACGUGGUCGCUAGCCUUUACCGUGUAAAGCCCCUUCGACGAGUCGAGUUGUUUGGGAAUGCAGCUCUAAAUGGGAGGUAAAUUUCUUCUAAAGCUAAAUACUGGCCAGAGACCGAUAGCGCACAAGUAGAGUGAUCGAAAGAUGAAAAGCACUUUGGAAAGAGAGUUAAAAAGCACGUGAAAUUGUUGAAAGGGAAGCGCUUGCAGCCAGACUUGCCUGUAGUUGCUCAUCCGGGUUUCUACCCGGUGCACUCUUCUAUAGGCAGGCCAGCAUCAGUUUGGGCGGUUGGAUAAAGGUCUCUGUCAUGUACCUCCUCUCGGGGAGAACUUAUAGGGGAGACGACAUGCAACCAGCCCGGACUGAGGUCCGCGCAUCUGCUAGGAUGCUGGCGUAAUGGCUGUAAGCGGCCCGUCUUGAAACACGGACCAAGGAGUCUAACAUCUAUGCGAGUGUUUGGGUGUCAAGCCCGAGCGCGUAAUGAAAGUGAACGGAGGUGGGAAGCUUUCGGGCUGCACCAUCGACCGAUCCUGAUGUCUUCGGAUGGAUUUGAGUAAGAGCAUAGCUGUUGGGACCCGAAAGAUGGUGAACUAUGCUUGAAUAGGGUGAAGCCAGAGGAAACUCUGGUGGAGGCUCGCAGCGGUUCUGACGUGCAAAUCGAUCGUCAAAUUUGGGCAUAGGGGCGAAAGACUAAUCGAACUAUCUAGUAGCUGGUUCCUGCCGAAAUUUCCCUCAGGAUAGCAGUAACGUUUUCAGUUUUAUGAGGUAAAGCGAAUGAUUAGAGGACUGGGGGAUGAAACAUCCUU